rnacentral:rRNA from 1 species
AGGACGAACGCUGGCGGCGUGCCUAAUACAUGCAAGUCGAACGGUCUUUCUAUGGAAGCUUGCUUCCACUGAGAAGAUAGUGGCGAACGGGUGAGUAACACGUGGGUAACCUGCCCAUAAGAGGGGGGAUAACAUCCGGAAACGGGUGCUAAUACCGCAUAGUUUUCUUGAUCGCAUGAUCGGGAAAGGAAAGACGGCCUUUGUGCUGUCGCUUAUGGAUGGACCCGCGGCGUAUUAGUUAGUUGGUGAGGUAACGGCUCACCAAGACGAUGAUACGUAGCCGACCUGAGAGGGUGAUCGGCCACAUUGGGACUGAGACACGGCCCAAACUCCUACGGGAGGCAGCAGUAGGGAAUCUUCCGCAAUGGACGAAAGUCUGACGGAGCAACGCCGCGUGAGUGAAGAAAGGGUUUUCGGAUCGUAAAACUCUGUUGUCAGAGAAGAACAAGUUGGAGAGUAACUGCUCCAGCCUUGACGGUAUCUGACCAGAAAGCCACGGCUAACUACGUGCCAGCCGCUGC